rnacentral:rRNA from 1 species
UACGGAGGGUGCAAGCGUUAUCCGGAUUCACUGGGUUUAAAGGGUGCGUAGGAGGGCAGGUAAGUCAGUGGUGAAAUCUUUGGGCUUAACCCGAAAACUGCCAUUGAUACUAUCUGUCUUGAAUGCGGUGGAGGUGAGCGGAAUAUGUCAUGUAGCGGUGAAAUGCCUAGAUAUGACAUAGAACACCGAUUGCGAAGGCAGCUCGCUACACCUGCAUUGACUCUGAGGCACGAAAGCGUGGGGAUCAAACAGG